GGCAACAAUCUUACUUCCAGGUACCAAAAUAUGUAUCAGUUACCUAUUGCUUUGUAAAAACUUACCUCAAAACUUAGCCACUUUGUUCAACAGACAUUUAUUAUCCCAUCUUUUCUGUAGAUCAGAAUCUGGGCACAACUUGGCUAUGGUUCCUUUGGCUGAGUUUCUCAAAAAGUAUCCAUCAAGGUGUUGGACAGGGCUAUGGUCAUCUCAAGGACAGCUACUUGGGAGGCUGAAGCAGAGAAUUGCUUGAAUCCAAGAGGUGGAGGUUGUUGUGAGCCGAGAUUGUGCCACUGCACUCCAGCCUAGGCAACAGAGAGAGAUUCUGUCUCAAAAAAAAAAAAAAANNNNNNNNNNNNNNNNNNCUAAAUUCCCCAAGUAUUUAAGCCCAUAGUGAGAUAUGACUACAGGUUUUAAGUAAUCAGGCACCUCCAAAUGUCUCUAAUUUCUAGUUUUACUAUGGAUUAAUUCAUUUGACACUAGAGUUCUUAUAUAAAAUAAGAUCUGUCAAUGCACUUCCAAAUCACAUUAGACACAAGACAUGCUGUUUUCCAUAAAUGGAUACAUUUGAAAAUUGAGAAUACAAUAUUUAAGAAUUAAUUUUUCCUAGCAUUGUAAAAUACAUUGGAUUAUGUUUAUUUAUCAAACACUCUAUUAGAAGACAAGAUUCGUCUGAG
rnacentral:lncRNA from 1 species